rnacentral:sRNA from 1 species
CAAUUAUAUUAAAUUUUAAAACAAAAAUUUCCAUAAAAUUUUUCUAAAAGCCAAAAUUUAAACGGCUGAACUGUAUUUUACGGGGUAGUUCGCAAAAAAAACUAGGGUCAAAACCUCCCUCGGGGUGAAGUACCCUAACCUAGUCAAUAUGGAUAUCAAAUGAAAGAUUGGCCAAUAGCGGGAUCAUGGGACCCUAUAAAAAUCGAUUCCUCUCUUAUUUCGAGAUUUGACUGAAAUUGGGCAAGUGGUUGAUCUCCAGCAUUCGUGCCAUGCGCAAUUAUCCGGAAGUUGUUGCAAAUAUUUUCAGUCUUUCGAAAAAAUUUUCAACUCUUGUCUAAUUUUUGUUUUGCAAUUUUUAUUACUCGAAAAUGUUUUAGCUCGGUCAAUAGUGCACUAACAGAACAAAUAGGAAUUUGAGAAACAAAUUAUUGCAAUUGCAAGUGUCGAAACGGUUGUUCCAUCUCAAAGCUACCGAUGAAGCAUUCUUGUUUUAUUGAAACAAAAUUUGUUUCCCAUAAACAUAUUUUAUAGCUCUCAAGUUCACAUUGUGUAAAAAGCAAACUUAAUAUCUAAUAUAUAAAUAGUAAAUUUUACAGAUUA